UUGGUGGGGUGAUGGCCUACCAAGGCGACGACGGGUAGCCGGCCUGAGAGGGUGUCCGGCCACACUGGGGCUGAGAUACGGCCCAGACUCCUACGGGAGGCAGCAGUGGGGAAUAUUGCACAAUGGGCGCAAGCCUGAUGCAGCGACGCCGCGUGGGGGAUGACGGCCUUCGGGUUGUAAACCUCUUUCACCAUCGGCGAAGCCAGAUGCUUUUGUGUCCGGUGACGGUAGGUGGAGAAGAAGCACCGGCCAACUACGUGCCAGCAGCCGCGGUAAUACGUAGGGUGCGAGCGUUGUCCGGAAUUACUGGGCGUAAAGAGCUCGUAGGUGGUUUGUCGCGUUGUCCGUGAAAUUCCCUGGCUUAACUGGGGGCGUGCGGGCGAUACGGGCAGACUGGAGUACUGCAGGGGAGGCUGGAAUUCCUGGUGUAGCGGUGGAAUGCGCAGAUAUCAGGAGGAACACCGGUGGCGAAGGCGGGUCUCUGGGCAGUAACUGACGCUGAGGAGCGAAAGCGUGGGGAGCGAACAGGAUUAGAUACCCUGGUAGUCCACGCCGUAAACGGUGGGUACUAGGUGUGGGUUUCCUUCCUUGGGAUCCGUGCCGUA
rnacentral:rRNA from 1 species